rnacentral:tRNA from 1 species
AAUAAGAUGGCUGAUUCAGGCGGUAAAUUGUAAAUUUAUUUAUGGUGAUAACCUCUUAUUA